UAAUGUCGAUGCUGCACUGGCGGAUGCUGACUCAGUGUUUUAUGCCUACCAAUACUUAAUCGCCCUGCGUAAGCAACAUGAUCUGUUCACGUUUGGCGAUUAUCAGGAUCUUUGUCCGCAACAUCCUGAUUUAUGGUGCUAUUUUCGCAGUUGGCAGGGUAAGCAGUUGUUGGUGGUGGCGAACCUGAGUGGUGAACCGCAGGCAUGGCAGCCAGAGGGGAUUGAGCUGGGUGGCAAUUGGCAACUAUUGAUGAGCAGCUACGGUGAAAGCGCCUUCCAACCGCAGGAGAUGGUGUUGCGGGGGUAUGAGGGGGUUUAUUGGAUCAAAGGGUGAGUUAGUUUAAUUCAAUUCAAUUCAAUUCAAUUCAGUUCAGUUGGAUCGGAUCUGGUUUCGGUUGAUAUUCAGUUAGUGGUAGGUUCGGUUGUUAAAGCGUCACCGCUCACCUUGCCUCCGAUGAACCAACCGCCAAAGGGGUUACAAGCGCGUAACCCCCUUGGAACCCCUGCGCUAGCGCACGUAUCGCUUGCCCACUUCGUGGGUGCCCUCGCUCAUCAUUA
rnacentral:rRNA from 1 species